UUAACACAUGCAAGUCGAGCGGUAGCACAAGAGAGCUUGCUCUCUGGGUGACGAGCGGCGGACGGGUGAGUAAUGUCUGGGAAACUGCCUGAUGGAGGGGGAUAACUACUGGAAACGGUAGCUAAUACCGCAUAACGUCGCAAGACCAAAGAGGGGGACCUUCGGGCCUCUUGCCAUCAGAUGUGCCCAGAUGGGAUUAGCUAGUAGGUGGGGUAAUGGCUCACCUAGGCGACGAUCCCUAGCUGGUCUGAGAGGAUGACCAGCCACACUGGAACUGAGACACGGUCCAGACUCCUACGGGAGGCAGCAGUGGGGAAUAUUGCACAAUGGGCGCAAGCCUGAUGCAGCCAUGCCGCGUGUGUGAAGAAGGCCUUCGGGUUGUAAAGCACUUUCAGCGAGGAGGAAGGUGGUGAGCUUAAUACGCUCAUCAAUUGACGUUACUCGCAGAAGAAGCACCGGCUAACUCCGUGCCAGCAGCCGCGGUAAUACGGAGGGUGCAAGCGUUAAUCGGAAUUACUGGGCGUAAAGCGCACGCAGGCGGUUUGUUAAGUCAGAUGUGAAAUCCCCGGGCUCAACCUGGGAACUGCAUUUGAAACUGGCAAGCUAGAGUCUCGUAAAGGGGGGUAGAAUUCCAGGUGUAGCGGUGAAAUGCGUAGAGAUCUGGAGGAAUACCCGUGGCAAAGGGGGCCCCUGGACGAAGACUGACGCUCGGGUGCCAAAGCGUGGGGAGCAAACAUGAUUAGAUACCCGGGUGG
rnacentral:rRNA from 1 species